UGACGGUCUUGAUGAUGACGACAGUUGUCUUUUUCCUGAAGCACACAUGUGGGCUUUCAGUCACUACCUCAUCUGAACCGUCA